AGUCACAGGCACUUCUUGAGACCUGGGACAGAGGACUGCUCUCUGAUCACCUCUGGUUACACUGUCUGGCUCCAGGAACUGUGACUCCCAGCCAUGAGGACCCUUGCCCUCCUCAUUGCCUGUCUCCUGCUGGCCCUGCUGGCCCAGGCUGAGCAUCACCCACGAGGAGAUAACGAAGCUGACUCUGAAAUAGAGGGCAAGGGAGAGGAACAUGUUGCUGUUCUCUCAUUUCCAGAGGAGGAAAGCAACAGUCUUCCAGAUGCAGGUGUCUGGCCACUACGCCGCCCACGCUGCUUUUGCAGACUACACUGCCGUUGUUGAGAACUCACCGUAGGUUUCUGCCCUGAAUCGAAUCUGCAGAUCGUGUUUCUGCUAACUAUCCAAGAAAAAAAAUCAUAGUAUUCUUUGAGGCCUAGAAGAGAAUUGCUGCUUUCUCUGAGCUAUGUCUUCCUUUUUUCUUUUUCCCUAAAUAAAUUGCUGUGAAAUUGC